AGUUUUUUAAAUAAAACUUAUCUCCCUCUUAGCAAAAGUUUCCUCUAGGGCUCUGA
rnacentral:snoRNA from 1 species